GACGAACGCUGGCGGCGUGCUUAACACAUGCAAGUCGAACGGAAAGGCCCCCACCUUGGUGGGGGUGCUCGAGUGGCGAACGGGUGAGUAACACGUGGGUGAUCUGCCCUGUACUUCGGGAUAAGCUUGGGAAACUGGGUCUAAUACCGGAUAGGACCAUGGUUUAGUGUCUCAUGGUGGAAAAAUUAUUGUUUUGGUGCAGGAUGAGCUCGCGGCCUAUCAGCUUGUUGGUGGGGUAAUGGCCUACCAAGGCGUCGACGGGUAGCCGGCCUGAGAGGGUGGACGGCCACAUUGGGACUGAGAUACGGCCCAGACUCCUACGGGAGGCAGCAGUGGGGAAUAUUGCACAAUGGGCGCAAGCCUGAUGCAGCGACGCCGCGUGGGGGAUGACGGCCUUCGGGUUGUAAACUCCUUUCGUUAGGGACGAAGCCACACCUUUUUU
rnacentral:rRNA from 1 species